UUGGUGUGUGAACGUGAAUAUCUUGGGCGAUUGAAUAUUUUAGCUUUGAAAAAUGAAAAUUUUGGAUAUUUUAUGAGUGAAAUUUUGGUUUUUGUACUUUAUUCCAGGAUCACCAUCUGCGAAAUCACCCUUGUUACCUCCGCCUUUGUCUCGCCAACCACGACAAAAGGCAAAAACCUUCAACUAGCACUAGGAUUCAUUCAUCACCUGCUCUUGCUCUGCUUACACUCUCCUUCAGCUCAGCCAACUAUGAGUCAAGUAGUGGCUGAGCUGAAGGAGAGUGUAAGCAGAGCAAGAGCAGGUGAUGGUUCCGCUGCUAGUAGUGUUACAGAACCGGCGAUGAUAAGUUUUAAUUCGGGAAUGUUUCCUCGAGCAAGUUUCUUUGUGUUAUUAUCUACAAAACUUAUUAGUUUGACACUUUCAUUGUCAACUAAUCAUGAGUACUCAUUCUUUGGUUAUUAAACAAUUAGCCCACUUGAAGAUGACAAAAGACCACUAGAAGUCGUCCUUGUGUACGAACCACAAGGGAGGUCUUGGAAUAUCCCAACUUGCCCUUUUGACUUGAGAUUUGUUUUAUAGUUACUUGAUUUCAAAAGAUAGUGCUUCACCAUCAGCCAACAUGGCUAUAGUAUAAUCUUUUACUAUUAAAGUAUAUUGGAGCAAGAAGUACAAGCUAGCUUUGCAAAGGUUGCUUUGUAUUGAUUGUUCUAUGAGAAACGGAUGAUCAAGAGCUUUUGUCACUAAUGGCGUAUUACAACCUUCUUCCUCUGAUUUCAUUCGCAACCUUCUUCUCUGUUUUUUUCCUUCUUGUUGUUCGUUCUCAAGACCAAUCAGGUACACAAAGUGAUCUUGCAAUUGUAUAUCAAUAUGUAGCUGUGUGUGUUAAGGCUUUCACUCUCUAUGUGUGUGUUUGUGUUACAGGUUUUGUCAGUAUAGAUUGCGGUGUACCUGAGGAUUCAAGCUAUAACGAUGAAACAACAGAUAUAAAGUAUGUUUCAGAUGCUGCAUUUGUGAGUCCGGGACAAUUCAUAGCAUAGAUUCUAAGUUUCAGUCGACUUCUCUUGAAAAGCAGUUCCAAAACGUUAGGAGUUUUCCUGAAGGCAAAAGAAACUGUUACGAUGUGCAGCCUCCGCGUGGAAAAGGCUUCAAGUACUUGAUCAGGACUCGUUUCAUGUACGGUAACUACGAUGAUCUAGGGAAAGCACCCGAGUUCGAUCUGUAUCUUGGAGUCAAUCUAUGGGAUUCUGUUACGAUAGACAAUGCAACUAUGAUCGUAACUAAAGAGAUCAUCCACACUCUUCGGUCAGACCACGUUUAUGUGUGUCUUGUUGAUAAAGAAAAAGGAACUCCAUUCUUGUCUGUGUUAGAACUCAGGCUCUUGAAGAGCGACACUUAUGUAACUCCUUAUGAUUCUCUUAUGCUUUAUCGAAGAUGGGAUCUCGGCGCACUCGGAGAUCUUCUUAUCAGCAAGAAGUAAGAAACAUGCAAACCCCGUACUUUAAUAUAAUCAGAAAUCCAUACAGAGCAUCACACAACUUAACCAAAGAAGAGCAUA